AUAAUGGGUCAGCGACUUAUAUUCUGUAGCAAGGUUAACCGAAUAGGGGAGCCGAAGGGAAACCGAGUCUUAACUGGGCGUUAAGUUGCAGGGUAUAGACCCGAAACCCGGUGAUCUAGCCAUGGGCAGGUUGAAGGUUGGGUAACACUAACUGGAGGACCGAACCGACUAAUGUUGAAAAAUUAGCGGAUGACUUGUGGCUGGGGGUGAAAGGCCAAUCAAACCGGGAGAUAGCUGGUUCUCCCCGAAAGCUAUUUAGGUAGCGCCUCGUGAAUUCAUCUCCGGGGGUAGAGCACUGUUUCGGCAAGGGGGUCAUCCCGACUUACCAACCCGAUGCAAACUGCGAAUACCGGAGAAUGUUAUCACGGGAGACACACGGCGGGUGCUAACGUCCGUCGUGAAGAGGGAAACAACCCAGACCGCCAGCUAAGGUCCCAAAGUCAUGGUUAAGUGGGAAACGAUGUGGGAAGGCCCAGACAGCCAGGAUGUUGGCUUAGAAGCAGCCAUCAUUUAAAGAAAGCGUAAUAGCUCACUGGUCGAGUCGGCCUGCGCGGAAGAUGUAACGGGGCUAAACCAUGCACCGAAGCUGCGGCAGCGACGCUUAUGCGUUGUUGGGUAGGGGAGCGUUCUGUAAGCCUGUGAAGGUGUACUGUGAGGUAUGCUGGAGGUAUCAGAAGUGCGAAUGCUGACAUAAGUAACGAUAAAGCGGGUGAAAAGCC
rnacentral:rRNA from 1 species